GUGUUGUAUGAAAGGAGAAAAGGUUAGCACUAUCCCUGAUGAGGUUGGAAGAGGCCCUCAGCCUGACAAUAGGCAUACAGUUAAGGCACUGUCACCUUCUUAGAGGCAUCUAAACACCAUUUGAG
ensembl:snRNA